CAACCCCUCAACAGCAACAUUGUACCCAUCAGGUAAAACAUGGGCUACGUUUGCUUUGCAUUGUCUCCACCUGAUGGCAGUGAUAUAGUAAGAUGCGAUUCCAUAUUAGAUUCUUGAUGAAUGUGGGUUGUUGUUAUUCAGCCUGGUUCUAUGUGCCCCUUUUUUAACUUUGAGCAUUCACCCCUUUAAACAUCUCUGCACGGCCCUGCUAUGUAGCACUUACCUUUGCUUUAAUGAUGAACAAUUUCUUGUGCUUCACCUCCCCCACAGCAGCAUUAUGUAUCCAUCAAUAUUGAAAAUACAUGUACCUGUCCCUACUUGUUACUUGGAAAUGUAAUAGAUUUAGAGAAGUCCAGGGGAUGCAAAGUCCUGCUAGGAACAUUGACAAGAGAAAAGUGUGAAAGCUGAUAAGUUCAGUCUGUCUGGGUGAGAUCUCAACCAUAUUGCAUGAUAUUGACCUACUGACCUACGUGUGGACGUAGCCUCAGUUUAAGUUAUUGUAAAAUAUCUUCAAUUUGCUUCUUUAUUUGCUUAAGUUUUAGAAUUUUAUUUUUUUUUAUCUUCCUGCUCAGCGUCUGCAUAGUUCUGGCCAUUUUAUUCUAGUUUUUUAUUCUAGAUUACAGCUCUGUGAUUUUAUUCUUAGUUUUGUUUGUUCUCUGUGUCAAGUCUGUAUUUCUGUUCUGUUUUCUGUUCCCCUUGUUCAAUUGCUCACCUGUUUUAUUUUGUUGAUCUUUUUGUCAUCUGUGUUUGUAUUUAGUUACAUCCAUUUUCUUGUUUUCUCAAUCAGGUUUAGCUUUCUUCCCAGGUGUCACAAAUCCCACAAAUCUUCUGUAUUUAUUCUCUCAGUUUGUCUUAGUUCAUUGUAGCAUCCUCCCUAAUGGUUGUUUGUCUUCCUGCUCUUUAUUUCCCUAGUUUUGGAUUCCUUCAUUGUUUUUUGAAGCUGUUUUUUGAAUCUUUCUGCAUAUAGGUUUAAAUCCUGUCUGUCAAAUAGUCAUUACAUGACACCUUUUGGUAACUAUUUGUAAUUAAGUAAGAGUGCCUUUUGAACUGAAAUUAUAAUCGGCAUCAUGGAAGGAAGGGUAGAACACCACAUAUUUGUGAUUUUACACAUUAAAAUUAAAAAAUGUUGACUGGAAACCUCUGAAGGCUGAUAGAUUAGUACCAGCACUGUCUGCUUAAAGCUGGAAGGGUUCUAUUGAGGAACAUUCAUGUUAUUUGUCUUUGACUGAAGUAGUGAUAGACCAAGAACAGAUAUAAAAUGCUAUUAUGAAUGGUCAGGUCAUCAACAAUCAUUUUUCCUAUAAUGUAGGAGUUAAAAAAGGAUACAACUCAUUUUAUUAACUACAUCUCUGAAAUUAACCCAAUAUAGUUAUGACUAUAAAACUACAUUUUGUAGUGUUUAAUGCUCUUUUCCACUGCUGACUACAAAGAUUAAAUAUUUCAUUGUUUUUUUUAAUUCAAUAGCACUACUGUUAGCUCAAUAGACCCUUAACAUUUGAGGUUGUUACAGAUUCUUCUACAUAUAUUGUAUUAUAUUCUACAUAAGGUUAUGCAGGAAUGUGGUGAUGACUUUGAGCUAAAAGGAAACACUUUGGGAACUUACCCUAAGGCCAUACCACUUGUUUUCCUUCAAAAUGUC
ensembl:lncRNA